rnacentral:rRNA from 1 species
UACGUACGAGGCGAGCGUUAUCCGGAAUUACUGGGCGUAAAGCGCGCGCAGGCGGACCAUUAAGUUGGGCGUGAAAUCUCCCGGCCUAACUGGGAGGGGUCGCCCAAGACUGGUGGUCUUGAGGACAGCAGAGGCGGGUGGAAUUCCUGGUGUAGUGGUGAAAUGCGUAGAGAUCAGGAGGAACACCGGUGGCGAAGGCGGCCCACUGGGCUGUCACUGACGCUGAGGCGCGAAAGCUCGGGGAGCGAACGGG